CAAGUUGUAUCUUAUUUUAAAGUUUAUUAUUUACAUUAAUGCUAAGAGUAUAAUUUCUCCUUCUUGA
rnacentral:tRNA from 1 species